rnacentral:rRNA from 1 species
CCUACGGGAGGCUGCAGUGGGGAAUAUUGGACAAUGGGCGAAAGCCUGAUCCAGCCAUGCCGCGUGUGUGAAGAAGGCCUUCGGGUUGUAAAGCACUUUCAGUGGGGAAGAAAGCCUUGGGGCUAAUACCCUCGAGGAAGGACAUCACCCACAGAAGAAGCACCGGCUAACUCCGUGCCAGCAGCCGCGGUAAUACGGAGGGUGCGGGCGUUAAUCGGAAUUACUGGGCGUAAAGCGCGCGUAGGCGGUCUGAUAAGCCGGUUGUGAAAGCCCCGGGCUCAACCUGGGAACGGCAUCCGGAACUGUCAGGCUAGAGUGCAGGAGAGGAAGGUAGAAUUCCCGGUGUAGCGGUGAAAUGCGUAGAGAUCGGGAGGAAUACCAGUGGCGAAGGCGGCCUUCUGGACUGACACUGACGCUGAGGUGCGAAAGCGUGGGUAGCAAACAGGAUUAGAUACCCUAGUAGUC